rnacentral:lncRNA from 1 species
AUCAUCAACUACAUUCAGCCGCGGGUCGAUUGAAUGGAUUGUCGGGGGGCCGGAACAUAAUUAUUAAUAAUUUGUAGACUGCAAAUUGACCACAAGAAGCCCAAACAGAUAUAACAAUUGACAAAAAUAUAAUCAUUUCUCAAACUUAGGUUACAUUUUUAUACGAUCACGUCUCUCUAUUAUCCGUGGGAUUACUUGGGAAGUUUUCCUAGUGUUUCCUGCUAUUUUUUAAAUAUUUUUCUUUCUUUGAAAACUUGGGGGCCAAAUAAAACCACCCCCGGGCCAAAUUGUGCUGUUGCGUCAGUUGUAAGGGGAGGUGAUAACUCUAGAUGAUGAAAGGUUGGCUAUCUUAUAAUACCUCUAUGGGCUGUCUGAGACUCACUCAGAUGUGAGAUACAUAGAGGUGGUAGUUACUGGAGGUGAGGAACACCGGGGUCAGAGCUAGACAGAGCUGAGAGAGAUAGAGUGAUAUAGAGAAAUAGAGAGAGUUAUAGAGAGAGGGAUACAGAGAGAGAGUUAGAGAGAAAUGGAGAUUGAGAGAUAGAGAUACAGAGAGAGAAAGAGAGAAAUAGAGAGAGAGUUAUAGAGAGAGGGAUACAGAGAGAGAGAUAGAGAAAUGGAGAUUGAGAGAUGGCGUUAUAGAGAGAGAUGCAGAGAGAGAGAGAGAGAGCGAGAGAGAAAUGGAGAUUGAGAGACAUAGUUAUAGAGAGAGAUACAGAGAGAGAGAGAGAGAGAAAUGGAGAUUGAGAGACAUAGUUAUAGAGAGAGAUACAGAGAUACAGAGAGAGAGAGAGAAAUGGAGAUUGAGAGAGAGAGUUAUAGAGAGAUAAAGACAAAUAGAGAGAGAGCUAUUAGAUGCAGUUCUUACUAGGAUCAGUAACUGAGGUGUGUGUGUGUGUGUGUGUGUGUGUGUGUGUGUGUGUGUGUGUGUGUGUGUGUGUGUGUGUGUGUGUGUGUGUGUGUGUGUGUGUGUGUGUGUGUGUGUGUGUGUGUGUGUGUGUGUGUGUGUGUGUGUGUGUGUGUGUGUGUAUAGGUGUGUGUAUGUGUGUGUAUAUGUGUAUGUGUGUGUAACCAGAGUCAGGGUUAGGGAUGGUCAGUUAACACCCUGGGGAGCCUAACCCCCCCCCCCCAAAAAAACACAUCUGCUAACAGCCAGCCUGGAUUUCCACAAGUCAUUGCUCUUAUCUUGUAUCUUCCUUUAUCUAAGGGAAAUAUUCAGACUGAGUGAUCAUUAAUUAAUAGCUCAUUGUUCUACACUUGUUGAAUGGGAAAGGCUUAUCUAAGGUCUGUAGGUAUUAUAGAAUCACCUUAUAUACAAUAUUGACAGUUCUGUAAGUAAACAAAAUAUCAAAUUGGCUUCUAAAUGACCAUAUUAUAGUGUUAUUAUAGGAGUGUUCAUUAUUCCAUUUUUGUCUGAACUACCGGUACUUGAGGUUACAUUCCAAAUGGCACAGGUACGGGCUGGUCAAAAGUAGUGCACUUUAUAGGGAAAAGGGUACCAUUUGGGAUCCACCCUAGUCUGUCCUUCCACCACUCCCCCCCCUGCUUUCAGACUAGAUGGGAGUGGAAAAAUGAAGAAAUGAGUCAACAUGAAUCCUCAGGUACACUAUAUACUAGAUCAGGUUUCCCCUUUAGAAGAGAAAGUCCAUUAAAAAUCCCUUUGAUUUCAUGUUUGGCGGCUCAGUGAAAAAAAAUUAAUUUACUCCAGUCGCAUGAAGUCCAAUUUGGGCAAGUGGACAUUAAAGACAGGAGCAGGAGCUAACCAGCCAGGCCCUAAUAAGAGCCAUGCCUGGCCUGGCUAAGAGAGAGAGCUGUGUGUGUGUGUGUGUGUGUGUGUGUGUGUGUGUGUGUGUGUGUGUGUGUGUGUGUGUGUGUGCCUCAUCAGCUACCAGUCAGCCUGGUCGGCUCCGGCUCCAAGCCUCCCGCCUGCUAAUAGAUUUCAGCUCCCGCUUCUCUGUCCCAAUUAGCUAGCUAGUGUGUGUGUGUACAUAUUCUGCUGUGUGUAUAAGCUAAUGUAUAGAUGUUUUGAGUGUGUGUCUGUGUGCACGUGUGUGUGAGUGUGAGUGUGUGCGUGUAUGUGUGUGUGUGUGUGUGUGUGUGUGUGUGUGUGUGUGUGUGUGUGUGUGUGUGUGUGUGUGUGUGUGUGUGUGUGUGUGUGUGUGUGUGUGUGUGUGUGUGUGUGUAGCGUGUCUUUCAGCAGCCAGGAACCUCCAGAAGUUUAAAGAGGCAGAUUCAAUAAAAGUUCCAUAUUUCUGGCCUUGGCAACGGGUUCCAGUUCAAAAAUAGAAAUAGUUCUCUGUUUAUUCCAUCUAUUAAACAAGACUGCAUUCAGAGACUUCUGGAAUAAGGACAUCUGGUGCAAUGUCCUGAAGACACAGCGAAUGAAAAAAACAAAGGGCUACCGAUUGAUGAG